rnacentral:piRNA from 2 species
UGUUUGUUUGAAUAAAGAAAAGUAACGGUGU